CGAUGAUACGCGAAGAACCUUACCGGGGUUGACAUGCAGGUGAUCGCCGUUGAAAGACGGUUUCCUCUUCGGAGGCACCUGCACAGGUGCUGCAUGGCUGUCGUCAGCUCGUGUCGUGAGAUGUUGGGUUAAGUCCCGCAACGAGCGCAACCCUUAUCCCCAGUUGCCAUCAGGUAAAGCUGGGAACUCUGGGGAGACUGCCGGUGAUAAACCGGAGGAAGGCGGGAUGACGUCAAGUCCUCAUGGCCCUUACAUCCCGGGCUACACACGUGCUACAAUGGCAGGUACAGAGGGCUGCGAAGCCGCGAGGUGGAGCGAAUCCCAGAAAACCUGUCUCAGUCCGGAUUGAAGUCUGCAACUCGACUCCAUGAAGUUGGAAUCGCUAGUAAUCGCAGAUCAGCACGCUGCGGUGAAUACGUUCCCGGGCCUU
rnacentral:rRNA from 1 species